rnacentral:rRNA from 1 species
UACGUAGGGUGCGAGCGUUGCCCGGAUUUAUUGGGCGUAAAGAGCGCGUAGGCGGUCCGGUAAGUCGGCUGUGAAAGUCAAGGGCUCAACCCUUGAAAGCCGGCCGAUACUGUCGGACUAGAGUCCGGAAGAGGCGAGUGGAAUUCCCGGUGUAGCGGUGAAAAUGCGCAGAUAUCGGGAGGAACACCGGUGGCGAAGGCGGGUCUCUGGGCCCGAUACUGACGCUGAGGAGCGAAAGCGUGGGGAGGCGAACAGG